UACUAACUGCAGAUUCAAGUGA
rnacentral:miRNA from 2 species